GACAGGGGUCUCGAGCGUUAAUCGGAAUUACUGGGCUUAAAGGGUGCGUAGGCCGGCCCGCAAGUGACUUGUGAAAUCCCCCGGCUCAACCGGGGAACUGCUCGUCAUACUGCGGGUCUUGAGGAAGGUAGGGGUUGCCAGAACUGUAGGUGGAGCGGUGAAAUGCGUAGAUAUCUACAGGAAUGCCGAUGGUGAAGACGGGCAACUGGGCCUUUCCUGACGCUGAGGCACGAAAGCGUGGGGAGCAAACAGG
rnacentral:rRNA from 1 species